rnacentral:sRNA from 1 species
AUGGACGACUUCUUAAUGGUACCUGUUGUCAGGGUGUACCUGGGACACACUGUACCAAACUGUGUAAACCGGUUCUCACUGUAUGCCUCAAACAAGAUAGCUGUUGUGGUAAAAGACUUACAGACACCUUUCCUGCCACUUAUCUACGACCAUGAGUUCUCAGACUAUACACUUCCAAUUGGAGCAAAUAUUUUGUCACAGAAGUGGCGAACGAAAGAUUUAACAGCUAGCAUUCGCGGUAGACAAAUAUUUAGGAUUCAUUUCACAUACAAAGCUUACUGUUCUGAUGGUUAUUAUGGAUCAGAAUGCUCAGAUCAUUGUGCCGGUAAUCCAAAGAAAUGUGUCGUUAAUGGACACACCUACUGUAAAAUGGGAUGGAGUGGGAGAGAAUGUGAUCAGGAUAUCAACGAAUGUAGUGAAAAAAAUUUCUGCAGCCACGGUCACUGUUCAAACACUGUUGGCAGUUUUAACUGUACCUGUCCUCCGUAUGUGUAUGGUCUGAAAUGUCAACUUGAUGAAGAUGAGUGUCUGCUGGACCCUUGUAAUGGAGGAGAGUGCGUUAACAAAAUUGGCAGUUAUCAAUGCAAUUGUCGACCUGGAACAUCGGGCUUUGAUGGGAAGAAUUGUGAACGCGACAUGGAUGAAUGUGCUUUUAAUUUAUGCCCAGCAAGAUCGGUAUGUUAUGAUAAUGCUGGUGGAUUUACAUGUGUUUGGAAAGAUAAUCGACGCAAAAGAAGCUUAUCAAAUGCAAAAAUGGUUUACACAAUCAAACUUCCAUUCACACCUGAUGGAAUGAAAGCACUAUGGAAUAAAGACGUGUUAAAAGAAAAAAUAAAUGAUUGUGCAGGCGAAUUUGUGUUACGUCCAUUACGUUUAAAAGUUGUGACAUGGGAACAAGCCAUAUACCUUAAAUACAGAGCAUUGUGCCAGCUUUAACAUUGUUGUCAAGAACUUUUG